CGCUCGACCUCGACCAGGCGCAAACCGAUUAAGUCUACUAACGACUGAUUAACGAGCUGCCUCACUAAACAGACUGCAGGUCAAUGUCAGUUUUAGAGGACAGGCAGAGCUUUUACAGAGAGCAGCCUCUGUGUUUACUUCCAGGGAACAUGACAUGAGGACUGAAAGUAAACACAGCAGGACAUAUCCACAGCCAUCAGCUCCAUCAAUGGGCACAAUUACAGAACUUGUUGUGCUGUAUCAUGACCUAAGUCGCUGCAGGGCUCUUCCUCAUUAGCCGCUGGAAUUGGUGAAAGAAACUAAUGCAACAUCGCCCCCACUGGACCUCUCCUGGUACUACAAAGGACUACUGUACAUGCAUAAACAUGCUGUGUAUA